AGCCUGAUCCUCUUCUCCCUCUUGCUGGCUGCAUGCCAAGGAGCAUGCAUGCAAGGUCCCUUGAUACCGAAAUCUUAUGCUGGUAAAGAUUUGCCUCCAGAUACAUGUGUUGAUGUAUAUGAUGGGAAAACACAUCUCAUUGGGUCCACUUGGAACACAGCUCAUUGUUUAAGAUGUGGGUGUGGCACAGAUGGAUGGAGGUGCUGCCACAGGUAGGAAGAGGCUUCAAGCAAGCACAUUUUCUCUUAGGUUAAGCCACAAGCAUUUAUUGAGUCAGCACGGAGAGAACGGGGGAGGGAGGGAGUGAGGAAGCAAGGAAGGAAGAACAAAUCUUCUACAUAAAUCUUCUGCAUUAGAGAUUCCUAUUGUACAGCUGGAGGCAAAGAGUAAGGCCAAAGAAGGCAUGUAAGAACCUACUUUAGGACUUAUCUUCUGGUGAAAGAGAAAUGGAGAGGAAAGUGCAAUUACUUCUCUAACCUUUUUGCAUUUACAGAUAGCUGAUCAUCAGCCCUAUUUUGGGUGAUCAGGUCCCUCCUUGGUACACAGGAGGUGCGGAAAGCUUUCCAGGGUGGCUGUGAAAGGAAUAUUCUAUCUCUCAGACAGAGCUCAGCUUUCCCCAGAGUUGGCUCCUAGCUGGGCAGAUCCUGGCUGAACCUUGUUAUCUAGGAAAAGUUUGGCCAGUUGCUCUUGAAGAACUAGACAUGGAGAUUGGUGACCAGUGUUCUGGACCCUUCUCCUUCCUGGGAGAGAGCAGGUGGUUGAUCCAACGAUGCCUCUCUGUGGAAGACGGUGAAACCACCUGGUUUCAUUAGAGGCCAUCCUUAGACCUAACAGACAGCUUUCAUCCGGUCCCCAGUAUUCCCUUUUUGAGGAAGAUUGUUGAAAGAAUGCACAAAGGGACCAAGUUGAAGCAAAUUACCCAGACUCUAUUUGGUCUGGUUUCAGAGUGGGACACAGCAUUGAAAUGUCAUCAGUUCCCCCCUGCCCAAAGAACCAGUUCAGAUAUCACCUUUGACUCUAUACUGGAUGGCAUUCCCCCAGAUUGAACUGGUACACAGUUUGGGGUAGGGUAUUCUUAAACUCACAGCGACUGUUGUAGAAGCUGGUGGCAACCAUAGCUGGGGGGGGGGGUGACUAGACAAAACAUAAAUUUUAUUUUACUGGCAAAAAGAAUAACACAAGGCAACAUCUUUCUAAUGUGGUUUGUUCUUCAUUUGCAAGAAGAGUUUUAACUGACUUGGACCUGAGAAGAGAAUGGCUGGAGGAAUGAAGGCCCCCCCUGGGGACAGCCAUGAACCGAGAGUCAUAGCUGAGGUUAUAAUAAUGGGAGAAAUAAUGGGAGAAAUAUUAUGUAGAUACAAUGAAGAUAGAAACUUUGAUCGACCAUAACCCCUCCUUCUUCCUCUUCCUCCACCUCCCUUUUUUUCUCCUUCAAAGCUUUGGUGGUCUCGCAAAUGUUCUAGGGUGCAAAACAGUGGUAAAUCCUGUGACAUGUAAAUAUGAAUUCUAUAGACUUGAUGACCCAUCGCAGCGCUGUGGUGGCUGAUCUCUUCGCAUGGAUGAACAGAACUAAAUCUCUCAUGUUCAAAUGAAUCUGAAUAAACCUCUCAUAUCAGCAUCUAAA